rnacentral:rRNA from 1 species
UGAAAUGCGCAGAUAUCAGGAGGAACACCGGUGGCGAAGGCGGAUCUCUGGGCCGAUACUGACGCUGAGGAGCGAAAGCGUGGGGAGCGAACAGGAUUAGAUACCCUGGUAGUCCACGCCGUAAACGGUGGGAACUAGGUGUUGGCGACAUUCCACGUCGUCGGUGCCGCAGCUAACGCAUUAAGUUCCCCGCCUGGGGAGUACGGCCGCAAGGCUAAAACUCAAAGGAAUUGACGGGGGCCCGCACAAGCAGCGGAGCAUGUGGCUUAAUUCGACGCAACGCGAAGAACCUUACCA